rnacentral:rRNA from 1 species
CAGCCGCCGCGGGAAUACGUAGGUCCCGAGCGUUGUCCGGAUUUAUUGGGCGUAAAGCGAGCGCAGGCGGUUUGAUAAGUCUGAAGUUAAAGGCUGUGGCUCAACCAUAGUUCGCUUUGGAAACUGUUUAACUUGAGUGCAGAAGGGGAGUGUGGAAUUCCAUGUGUAGCGGUGAAAUGCGUAGAUAUAUGGAGGAACACCGGUGGCGAAAGCGGCUCUCUGGUCUGUAACUGACGCUGAGGCUCGAAAGCGUGGGGAGCAAACAGGAUUAGAGACCCCUGUAGUCCCUGUCUCUUAUACC